rnacentral:rRNA from 1 species
AUUGAACGCUGGCGGCAUGCUUUACACAUGCAAGUCGAACGGCAGCGCGGGCUUCGGCCUGGCGGCGAGUGGCGAACGGGUGAGUAAUGCAUCGGAACGUACCCAGUAGUGGGGGAUAGCCCGGCGAAAGCCGGAUUAAUACCGCAUACGACCUGAGGGUGAAAGCGGGGGACCGAAAGGCCUCGCGCUAUUGGAGCGGCCGAUGUCGGAUUAGCUAGUUGGUGGGGUAAAGGCUUACCAAGGCGACGAUCCGUAGCUGGUCUGAGAGGACGACCAGCCACACUGGGACUAAGACACGGCCCAGACUCCUACGGGAGGCAGCAGUGGGGAAUUUUGGACAAUGGGGGCAACCCUGAUCCAGCCAUGCCGCGUGCGGGAAGAAGGCCUUCGGGUUGUAAACCGCUUUUGUUCGGGAAGAAAUCCUCUGGGCUAAUACCCCGGGGGGAUGACGGUACCGGAAGAAUAAGCACCGGCUAACUACGUG